UAACCACGUGCCAGAAGCCUCGGUAAUACGUGGGGUGCAAGCGUUAUCCGGAAUCACUGGGCGUAAAGCGUCCGUCGGCGGUUUGGUAAGUUGACUGUUUAAGCCUAGGGCUCAACUCUAGAUCGGCAGUCAAAACUACCUAACUUGAAUUAGUUCGGGGUAGCCGGAAUUCUUGGUGGAGGGGUGAAAUCCGUAGAUAUCAAGAGGAACGCCAGUCGCGAAGGCGAGCUACUAGAACUUAAUUGACGCUCAGGGACGAAAGCUUGGGUAGCAAAGCGGAUUAGAGACCCGUGUAGUCCAAGCCGUAAAUGCUGGAUGCUAGCUUCCUGUACUUUUAGUAUGGGGGGCGUAAGUUAACGCGUUAAGCAUCCCGCCUGGGGAGUACGGCCGCAAGGCUAAAACUCAAAGGAAUUGACGGGGGAGCGCACAACCGGUGGAGCAUGUGGUUUAAUUCGAUACAAAGCGAAAAACCUUACCUGGGUUUGACAUCUAGCUGCAUGCUUUACGAAAGUAAAGCAGCCUUCGAGGGUGCUAGACAGGUGAUGCAUGGCUGUCGUCAGCUCGUGUCGUGAGACGUCCGCUUAAGUGCGGUAACGAGCGCAACCCUUGUCCUGUGUUAUACAUGUCACAGGAGACUGCCCUUGUAUCUCAAGGGAGGAAGGAGAGGACGACGUCAAGUCAGCAUGUCCCUUACAUCCAGGGCUACACACAUCCUACAAUGGGAUCGACAAUGAGUAGCGAAGGAGUGAUCCUAAGCCAAUCUCGCAAACGAUCUCUCAGUUCGGAUUGGAGGCUGCAAUUCGCCUCCAGAAGCCGGAAUCG
rnacentral:rRNA from 1 species